UGGACUUGUGGAUAACGCAUUUUGUAAGAAUAAUAAUGAGAGUUACUGCAUGGUUCCCCAAUCAAAAAACACUAGUAUAUUCUCAACUCCACCUAUAAACUGCAAUUUGGGUCAGGAUUCCAGCCCUAAUUGUAAAUGUGAAUAUUCAUACAAGGGAACUCUAUUUUUUUAAGCACCUUCCUUUUUAGAUUUAGGAAACCCAAGUUACUACAUAGCUAUUAAAGGGUCUCUAAUGAAAUUUUGCGCAGUCCCACAAACUGCCUGUGGAUUCAAUUUCCAUAAGUAACCUCUUCAAAGACUCAUCUAAGAACCUUGAAAUGAGCAUACAAGUCUUCCCAUCUUGUCAAAAUCGUUUCAAUCGAACAGGAAUUUCUAACAUUGGGUUUGUGCUACAUCUAAGCCUCCAAAUAAAUUUGGACUCUUCUAUUUUAAGGUUAUGCCAUAUGGACCCUUUUCAAGUAACUUCCAAUUUGCAUUCUAUAUUAAAAAGUAAUGGUUGCAAUAUUUGCCUUUUCUUAUUGUGAUGCAUCUCUUAAAAAAGAAAUUGAUACAAUGCUAGCUUCAUCUUAAUAUUACCUCUCUCUCUCUCUCUCUCUCUCUCUCUCUCUCUCUCUCUCUCUCAUGUUCAUCAUUUAAAGGAAUACACAAAGUCAAAUAAGCAGUCAAGCAUAGGCAUUAUUAUUGGAGCAACAAUUGGUGGUACUGUCCUGUUGCUUCUAUUACUCUUAGCAGGGUUUUAUGCUUUCCACCAAAAAAGAAGGGUAGAAAGAGUUUCUGAUCAAUUACACCCUUUUGUAAGGGAUAUAAUCACUUUCACACCAUACAAAUGCAGCACGCUAGGAUCCAAAUAAUGGCAGUGGUGGCGUUCCUCAGUUGAAAGGAGCAAGAUGUUUCUCUUUUGAAGAGCUUAAGAAGUACGCCAACAAGUUUUCUGAAGAAACUUCUAUUGGAUCUGGGGAUUAUGGAAAGGUUUAUCUGGGGACUCUUCCCACUAGUCAAUUGAUUUCCAUCAAACAAGCUCAAAAAGCAUCAAUGCAGGGUGGCCUUGAGUUCAAAACUGAGAUUGAACUUCUGUCAAGGGUUCAUCAUAAGAAUCUUGUCAGCCUUGUUGGUUUUUGUUUGGAUCAAGGUGAACAAAUGCUUGUAUAUGAAUAUGUUCCAAAUUGAUCCCUGAAGGAUAACCUUUCAGGGAAGUCAGGAUUCAGGUUGGAUUGGAUGAGGAGACUAAAAAUCGCACUUGGUGCAAUUAGAGGCCUGGCCUAUCUUCAUGAACUUGCUAACCCU